GACGAACGCUGGCGGCGUGCUUAACACAUGCCAGUCGAACGGAAAGGCCCUGCUUUUGUGGGGUGCUCGAGUGGCGAACGGGUGAGUAACACUUGAGUAACCUGCCCUUGACUUUGGGAUAACUUCAGGAAACUGGGGCUAAUACCGGAUAGGAGCUCCUGCUGCAUGGUGGGGGUUGGAAAGUUUCGGCGGUUGGGGAUUGACUCGCGGCUUAUCAGCUUGUUUGUGGGGUAGUGGCUUACCAAGGCUUUGACGGGUAGCCGGCAUGAGAGGGUGACCGGCAAAAAGGGGAGGGAGAGAGGGAACAGAAGGCAAGGGGAGGCAGGAGUGGGGAAGAUUGAACAAUGGGAGGAAGCAUGAUGAAGAAAAGCAGCGAGAGGGAUGACGGCCUUCGGGUUGAAAAAAGAUGUCGACUGUGAAGAAGAGUGAGUGACGGUAAUGGGUAAAGAAGCACCGGCUAACUACGUG
rnacentral:rRNA from 1 species